rnacentral:tRNA from 1 species
CAUUAGAUGGCUGAAAUGUAAGUGCUGGUCUCUUAAACCAUAUAAUAGUAAAAUAACAAUUACUUCUAAUGA